AGUGAACGCUGGCGGUAGGCCUAACACAUGCAAGUCGAACGGCAGCACAGUAAGAGCUUGCUCUUACGGGUGGCGAGUGGCGGACGAGUGAGGAAUACAUCGGAAUCUACUUUUUCGUGGGGGAUAACGUAGGGAAACUUACGCUAAUACCGCAUACGACCUACGGGUGAAAGCAGGGGAUCUUCGGACCUUGCGCGAUUGAAUGAGCCGAUGUCGGAUUAGCUAGUUGGCGGGGUAAAGGCCCACCAAGGCGACGAUCCGUAGCUGGUCUGAGAGGAUGAUCAGCCACACUGGAGGUGAAACAGGGUCCAGACACCUACAGGAGGCAGCAGUGGGGAAUAUUAGACAAUGGGCGCAAGCCUGAUCCAGCCAUACCGCGUGAGUGAAGAAGGCCUUCGGGUUGUAAAGCCCUUUUGUUGGGAAAGAAAAGCAGCAGGUUAAUACCCCGCUGUUCUGACGGUACCCAAAGAAUAAGCACCGGCUAACUUCGUG
rnacentral:rRNA from 1 species